AUGUUUUACGGAGUUGAGCGGAUGAUUCGGGGAGUCAGGCAUGUGCCAGGGCUAAGGAGGAAUCUAAUUUUGCUUGGUGUUCUUCAUGAUGGUGGUAUGGAAUUUCAUUCUAAUCAGGAUAAGAAGACCAUGGAAAUCAUGGAAGAUGGGGUGACCGUGAUGAUAGGAGAGAGGAUGGCUUCACAUCUUUAUAAGUUGCAAGGGAGCAAUGUUGCAGGUGGAGCCAUGGAGAGUGGAGUUGCAGGAGUAGCAGUGGAGUCCCAUGGUGGCGACGAAUCUGGCCCGUCGGGUAGCUCUCAGUAA
rnacentral:rRNA from 1 species